rnacentral:lncRNA from 1 species
AAUUGCUCUUCCAAUUAACCCUGAGUUAUUGGACAGUACCUGUUCAGAAACAGUUGUUGCAUAUUACACUGAAAGCUUAGUUUCCCUGGGAGAUGGAUGAAAAUAAAUUUAUGCAAGCUCCAAACUUCCAAGGUAGUGUAAUUUCAAUAUUAUCAAGUAUUUAUAGUGGUCAAUAAUCAUCAGUAUAUUUUGCUACUUUUCGAAGCUUAAUUAUAUU